CUGUUUUUUUAAUGUUUUGUACAUUAGUUCCAAAAUUGUUCAAAAAUACUCUCAAGCUAAACCAAACUACUAUUUCAGUAUCAAGUUAACAUAUAGCAGUAAACAAAUAUACAAAAAUAGCAUUAAAUAAAAAACUCCAGUCCCCAUUCUGUAUCAGAAGCUUUAAACUACAUUCAAAUAAUUUAAUGUUGUGAAUCAACCGUUAAAGUUGUUAAAAUUGCUCCCGUUAUUCCAUAAUUUCCCUUUUGUCUACUUUCAACAUGUGAAAGUUUUAAAACUAUUUUAAAGAUAGAUUCAAGUCAAUAUUUUACCGAUUUAGGAGUAUUUUAGAUAAAAAGUCAAUUAGGUUUGCUUGGAAGGUUCACUACAACAGCCUUGCAGGGACCUGUACUGCUUUAACCCCUGGGUGUUAUUUGUCCAUUUUUUUGGCUUUUUUCGUUUUUUUCUGUGUUUAAAAGGAAAAAAAGCAUAUGAAAAAAUACACUAGGGAGCUGAUAUUUCCUGCAGGAUACUAAAUCAUGUAGAAGUUCGAAAUGGCACCAUCCGGCAAUUUCUAACUUAUUGCAAACAGGCUGGGAAGAUUUGCACUAAACUCUUGUUAUUUUGCCAUUUUUUGGCUCAUUGACUCCCAUUAUAAAUCAUGAUUUUUAAUAUGCUGUAAACCUGAUGUUUUAUCAUGCAUUUUCCGUGAUUAUUGAUGCAAUCGCUUCUUUGGCGAGUCAAAAACAUGCAGAUAAAAAAAUUUUUGUGUUGACACCCAGAAGUCACUAGAUGGAGCCAUAGGCCAAUACAUGAAUUUUCUUGCGAAGCUAGCUUCAGAUCGGUCAAAAAUUAAUGCAAUAAAGACAGUUGGCUUUACAAAAAAAAUGGUGUCAAUGUUGUCUGAGCUCACUUUCAGUCUAUUUGGGCAUGCGUAUUUGCAAUUUUGCACGUUUGCACAAGACAAUAAAAAGGUACUUCCCGGAAAUGCAAAAAAACCAAAACAAAAAACCACGUGUUUAUUGUUGUCGUUUGAAUUUCAACUUUUAUUGGUUGGGUGUUUGAAUUUCUUUACUCUCAUUGGUUCUGGGCAUUUUGGGAGUCUCUGUUCUCGCGAGGAUCACCAUUUUGCAUUUCUUCCAACACAACUUAUGAUCGAUGGCGGCGAGAAGUAUUUCACCGCAGGACACGAUUCGAAUGGUGUUAGAAAAUCCUGAUUCCGACGACGACGACCUUUGUUCGGACGCUUCUUUGGAGAGCCCAGAAGACAUUGAACAAAUUCUUCCGGACUUUCGAUGCCGGAGGAGGACGGCUUUGAUGACGAGGAUUAGGAAAUAGUUGACAACAUAACGAGAUGAAAGCGGGGAGCAGAAGGCGGGGGCACGGACAUGACCACGUUGAGGCGCAUGACGAAAAUGACGGCGAUCGAGGCCUGAGGCACAUACUCCUGCCGCCGGCGCGCACUCAGGUGGCCAAUGUGUGUUUUUUCACAUGCCGGACAUUUCGUCAUGCAGCGCGUUUGUGCUGUUCACGGAGAUCUACCCUCGUUUGUGCUGUUCACGGAGAUCUACCCUGAGUGGAACGUGAAGAAAAGCUACAAGCGCCGACUAUUUCUUGAGGAACUUGGCAAGGCUCUAAUUCGGCCAGAAGUCCUAAAACGGGAACCACCGCCUUCUGCCGAAGGCUUGGUUGAGCAGCGAGCUGGACCCCCGUCCAAGCGCAAACAAUGUGGCCUUUGCACAAAGCCACUUCGGGCUUCGAACAUAAUAAUAAAUAAUAAUACAUUUUAUUUAUAACGCACUUUACAUUUGAACAACAAAUCUCAAAGUGCACAUCAUGAAUUGUGUAUGUUGUUAUUAUGUUAACUGUUAUAUUGUAUGUAUGUUUUGUAAAAUUGUUAACAUAAAUUCUAUCAUCAAAUCA